CCAGCGCCGAAGCAUGGUGGCGCCGCCAUGCUGGAACCCCAAAAUUGGCCGGAGAGAGUUUUAGACACCGAUUUUAGAUUUUUGGAGUAUUCUAGGUACGUGACGAGUGUUUUGGACUGCACAAGAAAAAUUCAAGAAACCUGGGACCUUAUUAUGAGGCGUAGUAGACAGCACAAUAUCUCGAAAUACCGAUUCAGGUAGGAUCCCUUAGCGUAUUUUCCGUUAUGGUAAAUUGAGAUUUAACGAUACAUAAUUUUUUGUUUUUGUAAAAAAUUUAAAAAUCCUAAAAAUAAUUAUAGGUUAGUUCACGAUUGUCCUGAUUUCCUGUUUAUUUUCCUGUAUUGCUCUACUUGC
rnacentral:lncRNA from 1 species